rnacentral:tRNA from 1 species
CGGAGCGUAGCGCAGCAUGGUAGCGCACCUCGUUCGGGACGAGGGGGUCGGAGGUUCAAAUCCUCUCGCUCCGACCA